rnacentral:rRNA from 1 species
AACGAACGCUGGCGGCAGGCCUAACACAUGCAAGUCGAACGCUGUAGCAAUACAGAGUGGCAGACGGGUGAGUAACGCGUGGGAACAUGCCCUUCGGUUCGGAAUAACUCAGGGAAACUUGAGCUAAUACCGGAUACGCCCAUAGGGGGAAAGAUUUAUUGCCGAAGGAUUGGCCCGCGUCCGAUUAGCUAGUUGGUGAGGUAAUGGCUCACCAAGGCGACGAUCGGUAGCUGGUCUGAGAGGAUGAUCAGCCACACUGGGACUGAGACACGGCCCAGACUCCUACGGGAGGCAGCAGUGGGGAAUAUUGGACAAUGGGCGCAAGCCUGAUCCAGCCAUGCCGCGUGAGUGAUGAAGGCCCUAGGGUUGUAAAGCUCUUUCGCCAGGGACGAUAAUGACGGUACCUGGAUAAGAAGCCCCGGCUAACUUCGUGCCAGCCGCCGCGGUAACAC